GAUGAACGCUGGCGGCGUGCCUAAUACAUGCAAGUCGAGCGAACGGACGAGAAGCUUGCUUCUCUGAUGUUAGCGGCGGACGGGUGAGUAACACGUGGAUAACCUACCUAUAAGACUGGGAUAACUUCGGGAAACCGGAGCUAAUACCGGAUAAUAUUUUGAACCGCAUGGUUCAAAAGUGAAAGACGGUCGUGCUGUCACUUAUAGAUGGAUCCGCGCUGCAUUAGCUAGUUGGUAAGGUAACGGCUUAACAAGGCAACGAUGCAUAGCCGACCUGAGAGAGUGAUCGGCCGCACUGGAACUGAGACAAGGUCCAGACUCCUACGGGAGGCACCAGUAGGGAAUCUUCCGCAAUGGGCGAAAGUCUGCCGGAGCAACGCCGCGUGAGUGAUGAAGGUCUUCGGAUCGUAAAACUCUGUUAUUAGGGAAGAACAUAUGUGUAAGUAACUGUGCACAUCUUGACGGUACCUAAUCAGAAAGCCACGGCUAACUACGUG
rnacentral:rRNA from 1 species